GCUCAGGAUGAACGCUAGCUACAGGCUUAACACAUGCAAGUCGAGGGGCAGCAUGGUCUUAGCUUGCUAAGGCUGAUGGCGACCGGCGCACGGGUGAGUAACACGUAUCCAACCUGCCGUCUACUCUUGGCCAGCCUUCUGAAAGGAAGAUUAAUCCAGGAUGGGAUCAUGAGUUCACAUGUCCGCAUGAUUAAAGGUAUUUUCCGGUAGACGAUGGGGAUGCGUUCCAUUAGAUAGUAGGCGGGGUAACGGCCCACCUAGUCAACGAUGGAUAGGGGUUCUGAGAGGAAGGUCCCCCACAUUGGAACUGAGACACGGUCCAAACUCCUACGGGAGGCAGCAGUGAGGAAUAUUGGUCAAUGGGCGAUGGCCUGAACCAGCCAAGU
rnacentral:rRNA from 1 species